rnacentral:rRNA from 1 species
GACGAACCGUGCGAACGUUAAUCGGAUUCAUUGGGCUUAAAGGGCGCGUAGGCGGCCAACUAAGUCAGACGUGAAAUCCCUCGGCUUAACCGGGGGAACUGCGUCUGAUACUGGAUGGCUUGAGUUUGGGAGAGGGAUGCGGAAUUCCAGGUGUAGCGGUGAAAUGCGUAGAUAUCUGGAGGAACACCGGUGGCGAAGGCGGCAUCCUGGACCAACACUGACGCUGAGUGAGCGAAAGCCAGGGGAGCAAACGGG